rnacentral:misc_RNA from 1 species
AAAGUCGUAACAAGGUCUCCGUUGGUGAACCAGCGGAGGGAUCAUUACCGAGUUUACAACUCCCAAACCCCCAUGUGAACUUAUACCUUUACACCGUUGCUUCGGCGGGUCUUCGCCCCGGGCUGCCGGGCCUCUCAGCAGGUCCCGGCCCCGGAACCAGGCGCCCGCCGAGGGACCCAAACUCUUGUAUUCCUACACCUUUUGGCAUGUCUGAGUGGAAUCAUUGCACAAUGAAUCAAAACUUUCAACAACGGAUCUCUUGGUUCUG